CUCUCAAGAACUCUCUCGGGGUCUCUCCCGCUCUCUCUUAUCCUAUCUGAUGAAAUCACACCUUGAUCAUGGUCAAGACGACGUAGCUGCUGGUUAGUUCAAGGUUUGACGCUAAUCUUCUGUUCCAGGCUACGACAGAGAUGGAGUUCGGGUCAUUCGGUGAUGCACCGUCAACAUUGAUGACUUGUAGAACCCAACAUGCAAGAUCAUCAUUCUUCUCCUCUUGUCAUUGUGAGACUCGAUUGCGUACGUUCCCUUGUUCAUGGGCUUUGCGGCAGAAGACCCAGACCUCUCCAAGUUGUAAGUAUACGUCUGGGAACCUAUCUCGUGUUCAAUCUUUGAUUAUCAAAGAAAUAAGUUUGAUUUUGGGUUUUUGAACUUGGCUUUUGGUUUUCGGUGAUGAUGGGAGGCUGGGACUUAAUUGGGUGAGUUCAAUGGGUGGAGUCGGAUAACAAGUUGGCGCUAGUUCCAAUGGAGUCAUGCGUUGAGAAGAGAGAAGGAACCAGAGAAGUAGAAGAAGGCGUGCUGCUGCUUCUUGUCCAACAACGCAGCAAGAAGGAAGAUGUUUAAGCUAAUUUAUAAGACCUCCAGUUAUCCACGAUGCAAGUAGUGGUGGUGUUUGCCGAACAUUGUGGAGUAAAGGCUCAAGCUCCAGGAAUACCAGAUUGUAUGACGACCUGAGAGUGAGCGGAGCAUAGCGACUACCUUGGGUUUCAAUCCCCUAAACCUCCGGAGGGGCUAUACGGACGGUAUAGUGUCUGACAUCCUUUGUGGUGUGGCACUAUUUCUAGGUGAUACGGCGUAAAUAGACACUCUCGCUACUCCUUACCGGUUGAAAUGUUAAUCUUGGUAAGGGUGUAGUUGGCAUAGUGACCGGUCAUCAGCUUUGGAUGCAGGUACUGUGCACAAGAAUGGAGAGAGCUGAAUCAAGUUGGGUGUGCAUAAUUGUUCGAUGUUAAGUGUCUUUGAAACUUUGAAAUCACACGUAAGGCUUCAAUUUCAUAUCCUAGUGUUUGGCACAUUUCUUGUUUGGCACAUUUCUUGUAUUAUUGGAAAUCUUGUAUUAUUGGAAAUCUUGCUCGGAAAUCUUGCUCGGUAUUAUUGGAAAUCUUGCUCGGCAUAAACUAGAGAGAAUUCCCAUGUCUUCAACAUGCUUCUUGAAAACUGAAACUGGUAAUGCCUUGGUAAAAGGGUCUGCAAGCUGUGCAUCUGUGCUAAUGGCAGCUACAUUAUCACAAUAAACGUACAGCUUUCCAUCAACAAGAUUACUUAAAUCUUUGUUUCCAAAAGAAAGUUUCUGAUCCAUAGGCCUUCACAUACACCUUCAUAUAUGGCUAUAAUUUCUGCUUGCAUGGUGGAUGUGGCGAUCAAUGAUUGUUUCAUUGUUUUCCAAGCCAAUGCACCACCUGCCAACAUAUAUACAUAGCCACAAGUAGACUUCAUUGAUGCAGGAUAAUUGCCUGCAAAAUCUGAGUCUGUGAAGCCUACAUGUUCAAGUUUCUUCACACACUUAUACAGAAGCAUGUGACUCUUAGUCCUCUGUAGGUAUCUCAAUACCUUUUUUCCAGUAGUCCAAUGCUUGUGUCCAGGAUCAGAUUGAAAUC